GGAGGGUGCAAGCGUUGUUCGGAAUUAUUGGGCGUAAAGAGCGUGUAGGCGGUCCGGUAAGUCAGAUGUGAAAGCCCUGGGCUCAACCCAGGAAGUGCAUUUGAAACUACCAGACUUGAGUACGGGAGAGGAGGGGGGAAUUCCCGGUGUAGAGGUGAAAUUCGUAGAUAUCGGGAGGAAUACCAGUGGCGAAGGCGCCCCUCUGGACCGAUACUGACGCUGAGACGCGAAAGCGUGGGGAGCAAACAGGAUUAGAUACCCUGGUAGUCCACGCCGUAAACGAUGAGCACUAGGUGUAGCGGGUAUUGACCCCCCUGCUGUGCCCGUAGCUAACGCAUUAAGUGCUCCGCCUGGGGACUACGGUCGCAAGACUAA
rnacentral:rRNA from 1 species